GAUGAACGCUGGCGGCGUGCCUAAUACAUGCAAGUCGAGCGAACAGACGAGGAGCUUGCUCCUCUGACGUUAGCGGCGGACGGGUGAGUAACACGUGGAUAACCUACCUAUAAGACUGGGAUAACUUCGGGAAACCGGAGCUAAUACCGGAUAAUAUAUUGAGCCGCAUGGUUCAAUAGUGAAAGACGGUUUUGCUGUCACUUAUAGAUGGAUCCGCGCCGCAUUAGCUAGUUGGUAAGGUAACGGCUCACCAAGGCAACGAUGCGUAGCCGACCUGAGAGGGUGAUCGGCCACACUGGAACUGAGACACGGUCCAGACUCCUACGGGAGGCAGCAGUAGGGAAUCUUCCGCAAUGGGCGAAAGCCUGACGGAGCAACGCCGCGUGAGUGAUGAAGGUCUUCGGAUCGUAAAACUCUGUUAUUAGGGAAGAACAAAUGUGUAAGUAACUAUGCACGUCUUGACGGUACCUAAUCAGAAAGCCACGGCUAACUACGUG
rnacentral:rRNA from 1 species